AGUGAACGCUGGCGGCAUGCCUAACACAUGCAAGUCGAACGGUAACGGGCCCGCAAGGGUGCCGACGAGUGGCGGACGGGUGAGGAAUACAUCGGAAUCUGCCCGGUUGUGGGGGAUAACGUAGGGAAACUUACGCUAAUACCGCAUACGACCGAAAGGUGAAAGCGGGGGAUCGCAAGACCCAGCGCGAACGGAUGAGCCGAUGUCGGAUUAGCUAGUUGGCGGGGUAAGGGCCCACCAAGGCGACGAUCCGUAGCUGGUCUGAGAGGAUGAUCAGCCACACUGGGACUGAGACACGGCCCAGACUCCUACGGGAGGCAGCAGUGGGGAAUAUUGGACAAUGGGGGCAACCCUGAUCCAGCAAUGCCGCGUGUGUGAAGAAGGCCUUCGGGUUGUAAAGCACUUUUAUCCGGAACGAAACGCGCUCGGUGAACAGCCGGGUGAACUGACGGUACCGGAGGAAUAAGCACCGGCUAACUUCGUGCCAGCAGCCGCAGUAACAC
rnacentral:rRNA from 1 species